CGGGGCUCGGCUUCAUGCUAAGGAUUAAAAGCAGCAUCGCUCUAUCAGGUAGGCACCUUGUGAAGCUCGUGACAGCAAGACAUCUGAUGGAAAGACUGCCCUCUGGUCUCAGCCUUGCUCUCGCGGCACUGCUUGCAUGCAAUUAAAGUCUCUGCUCUGAGAAUUUGGCAGGACCAGAGGACGCGGGGAGCUGGCUGCUUUUGGGGCUGAAUUCCCUUGCUUUUGUUCAUCCUUUGAUGCAGAAGAAGCCAAGCCAGCGGGAACUGGCUAGAAACAAGCCUCUUCCCAGCCGGCCAGUGCCUGGCAGGAAUCUGGGGUCCCCCAGGCAGAGCAGGGGGGGCCAUCGCUCCCCGGCCAGGAAAGGGUCUCCUCCUUCCCCCCGGCUCCCGCUCCGGGAGCGCAGCCCGACCAGCAGCACUGCAAUACCAGGCUGGCUAAAACCACUGGUGAAACUGCACCUCGGCUCCCCACCUGCUGCCACACGAUGUAGAGCCACGGGCACGUAUCCUCCAGCAGCCAAGCACUAGUCCGUCCAGAAGCAGGCAGUGUGGCAAACACAGCUUGGUUAAUUCCUUACUACACUACGGUCCUUUUCCUCCCCAGUGACGGUUAAUAAACAAAAAUACUAGAAUGAUCCUUUAAAAAUAGUUCUGCUCUAAGAGCAUGUGGUUGUAAUUACUGUCUUUAUGGACAAGUCUAUUAUUUUUCUUUCCUUCCAUCUCCUCUGUGUUAUAGGAAACAUGCCAGUUUUCAAGCAUCCUGCUUCAUUACUAUUGGAAGGAAAUUUCCAAAAAGCAGAGUUUAACACAGGCUCCUGUGUUAAACCCAUCCCGAGCCCAUCCCAAGAGUCGCCCCCCAAAACUGGGCUGAAACAAGAAUAAUGAACUGAUAUUUCUAAAAGUCCUGGGCACUCCCUUGCUUCUUGAUGUUCAUUCUUCAUUUUUCUCCAUUACAUUAACCUCUUGCAUGUUUUCUUUCCCUCUUUCUUGUCCUGAUUCUUCUUACCCCAAGUCCAGCCUGCCUUCACCUUCUCCCCAUUACCUUUUCUCUGCCCCAUCUCUCUUUUGCCCACAGCUUUCCCAUCAGUCCUCAUGCUAUCCCCGAUGCCGGUCCGUUCCCCGUGUCCCUCUGUCCCCCCAGAGAGUUCCUUCCAUUUCCCAGCAUCUGAUUCCCCUCCCAGGAUUCUGAAAUCAUCCUCUCUCCUUAUUUUCCCUCUUCUGUCCUCCUUUCCGUGGUUUCCCACGUCACCACCUUUUCCCCUUCCUAGCCCCCUGUCCUUACCCUGUCCCCCAGCUCUCCGUCCCUCUGCUCAGCCGCCCUCCAGCAUCCCUCUCUAUCCCCAUUUAUCUUCCCGGGGGCUUUCUGCGCAGGAUUCCCCUUCCCGCUCCCCAUUGCCUCCAUCCACCACCCCCAGCCCUCUCUCGUGCCUCCUUCGGUUGCCGCCAGAGCCGGGGUCCCCAUCCGGCAGCGCUCCGUCACUCUCCCCCCGCAUUAACUCCUGCUCCGGUGGGGCUGGCACCGAUGCGGCAUGGGAUUUGCACGG